AAUGAACGUUGGCGGCGUGGAUUAGGCAUGCAAGUCGCGCGCGAUGUGUAGCAAUACAUUGAAAGCGGCGAAAGGGAGAGUAACGCGUGGAUACCUACCCUGAGGCCCGGGAUAGCUGCGGGAAACUGCAGGUAAUACCGGAUAAUGUCUCUGGACCAAAGGUGUGAUUCCUCCUUAGGAUGGGUCCGCGUCCUAUUAGCUAGUUGGUGAGGUAAUGGCUCACCAAGGCGACGAUGGGUACUGGGUGUGAGAGCACGACCCAGCUCACUGGGACUGAGACACUGCCCAGACACCUACGGGUGGCUGCAGUCGAGAAUCUUCCGCAAUGGGCGAAAGCCUGACGGAGCGACGCCGCGUGUGGGAUGAAGGCCUUCGGGUUGUAAACCACUGUCAGUUGGGAGGAAGUGUUUAGGGGUUCUCCCCUAGGCUUGACCGAUCUUCAGAGGAAGUCCGGGCUAAGCUCGUGCCAGCAGCCGCAGUAA
rnacentral:rRNA from 1 species